GGGUGCGACCAUACCAGCACUUAAGCACCGCAGUUAAGCGUGGUUGGGAGUGAGUAGUACUAAGAUGGGUGACCCCUUAGGAAGUCCUCAUGUUGCACCUC
rfam:Gossypium raimondii Chr06_contig_386, whole genome shotgun sequence.